CAACAUUGUAAGACACAUUGCAUGUUUUUCUAUUGAUGAAUGUUUGUGUUGAAGCCUCAGGAAUUAACUUGAGCUAAUGGAUUUCUGGAGAAAAUUAAAGAAAGGCAUGUGGAAAUAGCAUUGUAUGGUGGAAAGACUAUCUCCCAGUUGGACAGGAUGCCUGAGAUUGAUUGAUUACUUUCAAAGUCCCUUUGCAAAAGAGUUUUGAAGCCAAACUUGCUCCAGAAGAACCCUUCUUCCUCUGGAUCUUUUUAAGAAAAUUCGAGAACAAAAUGAAGAGCUUGGAUUGAUUAUUGAUUUAAUGAAUACUCAGCACUAUAUGAGUCAGAGAGAUCUGGAAAGACAAGUGACAAGGUAGAUCUUCCAUGUGGGCCAGGCAGAACAAUACACCUCAUCAUCUCUGACUAUCCUCCUUGCCUGAAGUACAGCUUCAAUUUCUUCUACACUGGGUGUAUAUAUAAAACAGGUGGAUCCUUGCUGUGUGGAUGAAAUCCUUUCUGGCAACAUGAAGAAAUCUCCUCUAGUCCGUGGUCAGUUAAUUUAAAGAAUCCAGUUCUCAAAUAAGAAAAGGAAGAUUCGGAGGCAAGCAAAGGUGUUCCUCAGCCUCUCUCUCUCACACACUGACACAGGACCAGGCAUGCACUCUCACACACAGUACAACUAAGCUGUUAAGACAGCUUCUAUAGUACGCUGGUUUACAAGAGUCUUAUCUAUUGAAUGAAGCACAGUUACAGAAUGAUUCAUCAGUGCAACCACAUUGGUUUUUCUGGGAGAACUCAUAGUAAAUAACAGUAUUUGGAAUGAAAAAGAGCUAACACUGAUAUCAUGAGUUUGACUUAGAACUUCUGUUUGUCUGCAUGUGUGGUACCAGGGAUGGUACCCAUGGCCUCACACAUGCAUGGAAGUGCUUUUCCACUGAGCUCCACCGGCUUAGCACAAAUUUGAAAUUCUUUAACACAACAUUGAACUCUUGGAACUCCCUUCACUUCAAGUCAAAUACUCUAAAUUUCUGGUGGACUUUUUAAAAUUUAUUUUUAUUUUAAUUUUUUGAUACUGGG